CGCACAGGGAGCAGGAGCCGCCGCGCCCCCGGCCUCGUGCCGUGCCGCGCGCAGCAUGCCGCGCACCGUGCUGCCGUCAUGCCCCCGACCCGCCACCGCUGCUGUGCCGCCCCCAGCGCUCCCGUUGAAGGUCCCUCCCGCCAUGUCACACUUCACGGGCCUGCCGCGCCGCGCCUCGAUUCCUCCGUUCCGCUCCCCGGUGCCUCUUCUCCCUGCCGUGCUCCCUCGACAGCGAGAUCUCUAGCACCAUGCGUACGCGAGGAGGGCUUUUCCAGAGAAUCCCUUCCUCUGAAUCCUCCAUGUAAAAGAUUGCCACAUGAAAAGAGUUGAUUCCUGGAUUGAAUUGUGAAACUUAGUGGAUGGAGAGAAUGUCUUCGUUUUUCAAAAAUCAAAUGACUUCCAUUUGGCACUGUGUUAAGGUCUAAUUAUGCUAAGCCAUGAGGAUGGGGGAGACUGAGAUGGCUGAACAACUGAGCCCAAUGCUCCACUAUUCAAGAAUAUUGAGGUUAGAUGUACAUGUUUCAUUAGAUAGGAGCUUCUUUAUUUUAGGUUCCAGUCGAGUCAAUAUUGGUUGAUCUUGCUUCUUUUAUUCAAGAAUAUUGUGAUUUGCUCCACUAUUCAAGAAUAUUGAGGUUAGAUGUACAUGUUUCAUUAGAUAGGAGCUUCUUUAUUUUAGGUUCCAGUCGAGUCAAUAUUGGUUGAUCUUGCUUCUUUAUUUUGGUGAAAUUAUUUCCAUUUGCGAUUGAAGAUUGCAGUGUGAUUUUCUGCCUUUUACCUACAUAGCUUGUGUUGUCUUUGAACCCAUUUUCCUAUUCAAUUGCCAAAUUACGUGCAGUUGUUGACAAAAUUGCAGCAUGCUCAAGGUUUGAUGGUGAAGCAAAUGUGAAUUACUGGGUCUCCUAUCAUUUCCCUUUUACUGGAAACUGUGGGGAUGAUAGUUCAUAAUUUGAGCUGAUGCAUCUUACAAUCCCAAAAGAGUUCUUUUUGUGGAAGUCACGAACCUUGUAUCCUAAACCAUUUUGGUUGUUUAAUCUGUUAAAAUCUGCACCUUUAUUGUCUCAUCGACUCAUUUUGAAACAGCGAUGCGCCGCCCCUCUCCCACCAGGACCCCCAACGCCGGCAGCACCUCCCCAUCUCUAUAUGCUGAUUUCUCUAUUGAUUCCAUUAAAAUUGGUUGGAGGUGAUAGAGGAUGGAGGUGGCUUUCUUUCUGUUUAUUGAAGAACUGGUGGAUUCUCCUGACGCUUGUGCGUGCUAAUUAUGCCUAUUCUUGCUCAUUGGCUUGGUCAGAAACCGGAGUCAUGGAGGCUUACUUGUCACACUAUCAUAGGAAAGAAGGAAAAUUCCGGCAAGGCAUGAUUUCACUAACCUUGGCUACUAUUUAUAGUUAUAUUAUAAGUAUGUUUCAGGAAAAAAAGUCAGGUUGUUUUCCAAUGUGGAAGAAAUAUUGUACUGUUAACCGGCACAUUUGAUGUACUGGCAUAAUAUGAUCCAAUUGUACCUCCUGCUAUGCAGUGUUGCCAUGCACACAUGUCCUGCCUUGUUGCCAUGGGCACCAGUUCCUGACGGUUUCCAAGUUUUCUUUGUGUCUUCACUUGCAUUGCUAGACUUAUUCGCUCAAAAGGUGAACACAUCAUAGAACAUGUAUACUACUGAUAACAAUAUCUUUAAUGAUGGAUAAUCUCUUCUUCGCAUCCCUAUUAUUACCCUGUAUGAUUGGACUUGAUAGUAGAAUUAUUUGUGUGUGAGUUUGUAUAUUUAAGACCGUUCCUGGGCAUCCAUGGUUAAUUGUAAAUUGUGUGAACUGUUG